rnacentral:lncRNA from 1 species
CUUUCACAACACUAACUCUCCAGUCUAACCCCUUCAAAGGAGCUUCCUCUAUCCUCAUAUUUGUGCUUUUUCCUCCACUACUUACUCCCUGACUUUAAAAUAUCCUCCAUCUUCCUUUCCACCUAUGUGAAUUCAACCUGUCCUCUAAGAUCCAACUCAAGUUCUAUUGCCCUCCCUUCAGUGAUUUUUCUUCUCUCUGAGAAUACGGUAUUCUCUGUUGUCUAUUGUCUGUACCUCACAUUUGCCUCACAACCUUUGUUGCCUCUCCCAUGCAAUCCCCAAGGGAUGCUAUUUUUCUAACUGAUUAGGUUCCAGCAAUAGGUGGGGUCACUGUGCUAACUGUGCUAGUGGAGCAAUACUUGCAAAAAUGAAGUGCCCCAGGUGACACUUCUGCCUCUUCCUACCAUGAAGCCAGAAAAUGAUGAGAAUCAAAGCAAGGUUUAAUGAUUGGAGGUCGAAGCAGAGCAAGAAUCUCAGCACGACCAAUUUAGGAAAAAGAUUUUCUAUAUGGUCCAGCCCAGCAACAAAAACUUCAUCACUGGGCCGGUGAAGAUUUGAGAUGGACUAGCACAAAGUACAUCUCACAAGCCUUUCAAAGCUGCUGUUACAUAACCCUCAAGAUUUCCCGAGGUGGAAAGAAGACCUUCAUUCACUUAAAUCAGAACAUCGGUAGACAUUACUUCCCACUUGGAUGAUUGUAGCUUCCUUCAGCAUAAGAGGGUGGAGUGUUAAAAGACAUGAUAUGACAGCUAUUAGGCUCAAUUUCUCUUAUCCUGAAAAAAAUUUGUGAUAAUGAAGUAGCAGUGACACAUACAGUACAGGCUAUGUGUAUUCACUUGCAGAGGAGGAGACUCCAAAUGUUUCAGACAUACCAGAUGCAUAUGAUGUUCCCCCAGGACUCUCUCAAAAGUUUUCUUUGUGUCAGGUUUCCCUCUCUCCCCUUGAAAACAGAUCUCAUUGUGUUAACCUCUAAGGCAGCCAUUGAAUUCAAUGCUAUCCCAUGGACCACUGUGUUUAGGUCUGCUAAAUAUGGUUUUAGCACAACUGGCAUCACUGACAGCCAGCCAAGAAUUGAUAUAAACCACAGUAGCAUAUCAUGCUAAACAAAAGAGAAGGGAGUAGUGGGAUAUGAUAAUAUCUACAAUAGUAUCGACCAUUUCUCUGUGGAGCUGCUCAUGUGGCCAAACAAGGGUCUGAGAGACAACACAAAACAUGUCUAAAUGUGAUUACUCACUAGCCAGGGGUGACUCUCCUUGAAUCUCAGCAGGAUGAGCGAACACUUUUCUAAGGGCAGAACAGAGAAAAUGGUGGUGAAAGAUGUAGAAUUGAGUUGGAGAUACUACAUUUGAUCCAAGAUAAGAUGAAGAAGAUUCAAAACUCAAGAACUUGAUGAAAAACCCAGUUGACAGGAAAGCUGUGAUAGAAGUAGCCAGAAAGAGCCAGCUUCUGUAGAAAGCUUGGUAACCUGGUAAAAUAGAGAUGAAGGAUGACAAGGAACCCCUACAAAGCCACAAUUCAGAAAGAAAGCGAUAAGACUCAGAAAACCUGCUCCCCUACUUCUCACCUUAAGAAGGGCUACAGAAACUAAGCUUGGAUAAGUUGCAACCUGUUAUGGCUGCUGGCACUUUUCAUUCUAAGAAAUUUCAGGUUGCUUGGGCCUAUGAAAACAGAAGACUUGCAGACUUCUGCCAUUCUAGCAGAUGCAUUUUUGUCAUACUCUCACAUUUCUAAAAUCAGAAAGAGUCUUUUAAUCACUAUGCACCCUUUUAUGGAAAUAUCAUUAAUUCAGUGGUACAUCAUAUUAAUUGCUUUUUAUAAUGGUGACACCAUGGGAUUGAGGGAAUAAUAUCUCAAAACUUCAUUUAUAACUUGGAAGAAUGGUUCUUUGGACUUCAGAUUUCAUUCUUUCCAGUACUAACUGCUACUGUAGCCUCAAGAAAGAAUUGCAAUAACUACAAUAGAGGAGUUAGGCCUAUGCAAAUUUGAGAAGUUUGUAAUAUUUCUUUGACCUUUUUUUCCUGGCAACAAAAUAUAAUUGGCAGUGAUUGGGGGGAGAAGGAGGUGAAUUAUUUAUAUCAGUAUGGUUUUGUCUUCUGUGCUUUAUGGUUUUUAGAGCAAUACUGACACCUCUGUUCAAAUAAAUUAAAUGCCCUUUCCAACAGACUCUCUUGACAAGAAAAAAAAAUACAUAUCUUCAACUCCCCUCUCCCAAAGCAAUCCAGCUGAAGGAACAAAACCCUAAAAGAGUAUAGUAAAAUUCAUCUUUAAUUAACCUGCCACAGGUCCAUAUGACAAACUUUGUCAGAUACAUAAAAUUUGGGUCAAAUCAAAGAUAAGCACAAAAGACUUCCCAUGGUAAGUCCAGUGCAGAGGUCUGAAUAUAAGACAAAAGUUAGAAUAAUGCCCUGAAAAUGACCCUUUUUUGAAACAAUAAGGAUAGGGAGAAAUACAGAAAUUUCCCCCGACUGGAGUAAUUUUGUUUUACUUUUUACAUUGAAAAUUUCAAGAAUAUACAAAAGCAGAUAAAGUCAUGUAAUAAGCCACGUGUCCAUCACCCAGCUUUAACAAUAUUCAAUUAUAAAUGAAGCAGGCAGAGCAGAUGUAGAGAUAUACUAGGUUCUUGGUAGUGGAUCAAUCAUUACAUAAAAUUAGCUUAGCUUCUGUAUUUUUAUUUACACAAACAAUACCCCAAACAAAACAAAAAUUCUAUGGCUAAAGUCAUUGGGUUUCUUAAGUCACAAAAAAAUCCCAAAUGGUAUAAGAUAAGCAGGGUGGAGAAUAUUGGAUAACAAGGAGCAGAGAUCUAAGUUUGCAAUUUUAGAUGAAAGUCAAUAGAGAUAAGUCCAUAGCGUGCAACAAACGUUUGGGAGAUGAGGGCAUUGUAUGGUCACUGGUUUCCCAACAAAGUAAUCUGCUGUCCUCAAGCAAGUGAAAGGAUGAGCUCUAAAGUAGCCGCACACUUCUAAUCAAGGGAGCACACAUAGCCCUGAGGCAGAUGGUAUUUCAAAUUUGGCAAGUGCUAAGAAAGAACUUACCCAAAUUAGAGUUACCAGCUGACAGCUGCUCGUUUUGCCAGUUCUCAAUUCCGCUGCCACCUCCCACGCCCAAGCAAUACAAAAUCUAUCAGAUAUUACAAACCACCAAUACAUAACCUGCCAACACAGGCACUAAAUAGAAAAUGGAAAGUAUCCAAGGAAACAAUGAGAGGAGUUGAGUAGAAUCUUCUAAUGUUUUUCUAGGGCAAAAAUAAUGAUACAGAUAUAGCUUCUUCUAGUCAAAGGUGAAUAAAAAGAACAGACAAUUUAGCCUGGUGUCUCUGUUAAGAUGUGUCAAACAAAAAGAAAGACUUAGAUAUUAUAAGUGAAAAUUAAAUGGAGAGUACAUGUUGUAAUUCGAGAGAUAGAAGAAAGACUUUGUAAAAAGUUUUUUUUUUUUGUAUUAUCAAAAAACAAGAAGCUACCAAUGAAAGGAAGAGAGUAUUGAAAGUAGAAGAUGACAGACUAAAAUGGGAAAAAAAGUUAUGCCAGUGAUAUCCAUUUCUUAUUCUUGAAGUUUUUCAUCUAGCUUCUCUCUCUCUCUCUCCUUCUCUCCCUUUCUCUCUCUCUCUUUGUAUCUCUAUCCUCUCCCUGGAACAUAGUGAACCCAGAAGUCUCUGUAUUCAGUUAGUCUUUUAUUUUAGUUUUAUUUUAUUAUUGCAUGACUAUUUUUAUAUUCUUUUUGUUCUGUGUUCUUUUUCAGUUGUACAAACUACAUCUUCUAGUCUCUGUAGUCUGUAUUAUGUAUGUAUCAUAUUUUACUAAGAAAUAAAAGAAAAACAAAAGACAAAAUUUAUCAUAGGUUUGAAACUAAGGAAGCACUAAGGAAUACACCUAAAAUGGAAAAAAAAAAAAAAAAGAAAAAACAAAAUCAGUGACUUUGAGGACAGGUUUGAGAAGUGUUUAAAAUUCUAUGAAGAAUAAUUUAAAAAGUAAAUAACUUAGUAAAAAAUAUACAGGAAUACCUCAAUCCAGGUAAAAAGAUCAGAUGUUCUACAAAAGAAGGAAAAAAUUAAGUUAUCCUCACUCUUUUUCAUAAAAUAUUAGAUGAAAGAAAGUAAUAGACCCAUUUACAUAAAAAGCUAAAGAAGAAAGUCUGUUCUCACAGACUUUUAUAACCAGCUAAGAUAUCAUUUUUGUAUUAAAAUAGUGGAACGUAAAGAUGUAAAAUUUGUAGCACUCAUAAACUCUGCCACAGGUAUCACGCAGUUUUUUUCCAUAUUCUGGGAGGCAAG